GAUGAACGCUGGCGGCGUGCCUAAUACAUGCAAGUCGAGCGAACAGACGAGGAGCUUGCUCCUCUGACGUUAGCGGCGGACGGGUGAGUAACACGUGGAUAACCUACCUAUAAGACUGGGAUAACUUCGGGAAACCGGAGCUAAUACCGGAUAAUAUAUUGAACCGCAUGGUUCAAUAGUGAAAGACGGUUUUGCUGUCACUUAUAGAUGGAUCCGCGCCGCAUUAGCUAGUUGGUAAGGUAACGGCUUACCAAGGCGACGAUGCGUAGCCGACCUGAGAGGGGGUUGGGCAACACGGGAACUGAGCAACGGUCCAGACUCCUAGGGGAGGCACAAGUAGGGAAUUUGCCGCAAGGGGCGAAAGCCUGACGGGACAACGCCGCGGGGGUGAGGAGGGUCUUCGGAUCGUAAAACUUUUUUAUUAGGGAAGAAAAAAUGUGUAAGUAACUAUGCACGUCUGGACGGUACCUAAUAAGAAAGCCACGGCUAACUACGU
rnacentral:rRNA from 1 species